rnacentral:rRNA from 1 species
UAGCAUACCGCUGACGACCGGCGCACGGGUGAGUAACACGUAUCCAACCUACCAUCCUUUCGGGGAUAGCCUUUCGAAAGAAAGAUUAAUACCCGAUAGUAUAGCGAUAAGGCAUCUUAUUGCUAUUAAAGAAUUUCGGUGUUUGAUGGGGAUGCGUUCCAUUAGAUUGUUGGUGAGGUAACGGCUCACCAAGUCUUCGAUGGAUAGGGGUUCUGAGAGGAAGGUCCCCCCCAUUGGAACUGAGACACGGUCCAAACUCCUACGGGAGGCAGCAGUGAGGAAUAUUGGUCAAUGGACGAGAGUCUGAACCAGCCAAGUAGCGUGAAGGAUGAAGGCCCUAUGGGUCGUAAACUUCUUUUAUAGGGGAAUAAAGUGCGGAACGUGUUCCGCUUUGUAUGUACCCUACGAAUAAGGAUCGGCUAACUCCGUGCCAGCAGCCGCGGUAAUACGGAGGAUCCGAGCGUUAUCCGGAUUUAUUGGGUUUAAAGGGAGCGUAGGUGGACGUAUAAGUCAGUUGUGAAAGUCUGCGGCUCAACCGUAAAAUUGCAGUUGAUACUGUAUGUCUUGAGUGUACAAGAGGUGGGCGGAAUUCGUGGUGUAGCGGUGAAAUGCUUAGAUAUCACGAAGAACUCCGAUUG